UACAGAGGGUGCAAGCGUUAAUCGGAAUUACUGGGCGUAAAGCGUGCGUAGACGGUUAUGUAAGUCGGGUGUGAAAGCCCCGGGCUCAACCUGGGAAUGCCAUUCGAGACUGCAUAGCUAGGGUGCGGAAGAGGGAAGCGGAAUUUCAGGUGUAGCGGUGAAAUGCGUAGAUAUCUGGAGGAACACCGGUGGCGAAAGCGGCUCACUGGAUCGAUACUGACGCUGAGGUGCGAAAGCUAGGGUAGCAAACGGG
rnacentral:rRNA from 1 species